rnacentral:rRNA from 1 species
CUAACGUGGACCCGUAAUCCGGGUUGCGGACAGUGUCUGGUGGGUAGUUUGACUGGGGCGGUCUCCUCCUAAAGAGUAACGGAGGAGCACGAAGGUUGGCUAAUCCUGGUCGGACAUCAGGAGGUUAGUGCAAUGGCAUAAGCCAGCUUGACUGCGAGCGUGACGGCGCGAGCAGGUGCGAAAGCAGGUCAUAGUGAUCCGGUGGUUCUGAAUGGAAGGGCCAUCGCUCAACGGAUAAAAGGUACUCCGGGGAUAACAGGCUGAUACCGCCCAAGAGUUCAUAUCGACGGCGGUGUUUGGCACCUCGAUGUCGGCUCAUCACAUCCUGGGGCUGAAGUAGGUCCCAAGGGUAUGGCUGUUCGCCAUUUAAAGUGGUACGCGAGCUGGGUUUAGAACGUCGUGAGACAGUUCGGUCCCUAUCUGCCGUGGGCGCUGGAGAACUGAGGGGGGCUGCUCCUAGUACGAGAGGACCGGAGUGGACGCAUCACUGGUGUUCGGGUUGUCAUGCCAAUGGCACUGCCCGGUAGCUAAAUGCGGAAGAGAUAAGUGCUGAAAGCAUCUAAGCACGAAACUUGCCCCGAGAUGAGUUCUCCCUGAGACUUAGAGUCUCCUGAAGGAACGUUGAAGACGACGACGUUGAUAGGCCGGGUGUGUAAGCGCAGCGAUGCGUUGAGCUAACCGGUACUAAUGAACCGUGAGG